UACGGGGGGGGCAAGCGUUGUUCGGAAUUACUGGGCGUAAAGGGCUCGUAGGCGGCCAACUAAGUCAGACGUGAAAUCCCUCGGCUUAACCGGGGAACUGCGUCUGAUACUGGAUGGCUCGAGUUUGGGAGAGGGAUGCGGAAUUCCAGGUGUAGCGGUGAAAUGCGUAGAUAUCUGGAGGAACACCGGUGGCGAAGGCGGCAUCCUGGACCAACACUGACGCUGAUGAGCGAAAGCCAGGGGAGCCAAAGCGGG
rnacentral:rRNA from 1 species